AGAGUUUGAUCCUGGCUCAGGAUGAACGCUAGCGGCAGGCCUAAUACAUGCAAGUCGAGGGGUAACAGGUGUAGCAAUACAUGCUGACGACCGGCGCACGGGUGCGUAACACGUAUAUAAUCUACCUUUUACUGGAGAAUAGCCCGAAGAAAUUCGGAUUAAUACUCCAUAAUAAUAUUGAGGGGCAUCUCUUGAUAUUUAAAGUUCAGACGGUAAAAGAUGAGUAUGCGCGAUAUUAGCUAGUUGGUGAGGUAACGGCUCACCAAGGCGACGAUAUCUAGGGGUACUGAGAGGUUACACCCCCACACUGGUACUGAGACACGGACCAGACUCCUACGGGAGGCAGCGGUAAGGAAUAUUGGACAAUGGUCGCAAGACUGAUCCAGCCAUGCCGCGUGCAGGAUGACUGCCCUAUGGGUUGUAAACUGCUUUUAUACGGGAAUAAACCCGGGUACGUGUACCCGGCUGAAUGUACUGUAAGAAUAAGGGUCGGCUAACUUCGUGCCAGCAGCCGCGGUAAGACGAAGGACCCAAGCGUUAUCCGGAUUCAUUGGGUUUAAAGGGUGCGUAGGCGGGUUGAUAAGUCAGUGGUGAAAGCCCAACGCUUAACGUUGGAACUGCCAUUGAUACUGUCGAUCUUGAAUGUGUUUGAUGUGGGCGGAAUAUGACAUGUAGCGGUGAAAUGCUUAGAUAUGUCAUAGAACACCGAUUGCGAAGGCAGCUCACAAAGCCACUAUUGACGCUGAGGCACGAAAGCGUGGGGAUCAAACAGGAUUAGAUACCCUGGUAGUCCACGCCGUAAACUUUGAUCACUCGCUGUUGGCGAUACACUGUCAGCGGCUAAGCGAAAGCGUUAAGUGAUCCACCUGGGGAGUACGGUCGCAGGACUGAAACUCAAAGGAAUUGACGGGGGCCCGCACAAGCGGUGGAGCAUGUGGUUUAAUUCGAUGAUACGCGAGGAACCUUACCAGGGCUUGAAAGUUAGCGACUUACCGUGAAAGCGGUGAUCCCUUCGGGGCGCGAAACUAGGUGCUGCAUGGCUGUCGUCAGCUCGUGCCGUGAGGUGUUGGGUUAAGUCCCGCAACGAGCGCAACCCCUACUUCUAGUUGCCAACAGGUAAUGCUGGGGACUCUAGAGGAACUGCCCGCGCAAGCGGUGAGGAAGGUGGGGACGACGUCAAGUCAUCACGGCCCUUACGUCCUGGGCUACACACGUGCUACAAUGGCGGAGACAACGGGCAGCUACACUGCGAAGUGAUGCUAAUCUCUAAACUCCGUCUCAGUUCGGAUUGAAGUCUGCAACUCGACUUCAUGAAGCUGGAAUCGCUAGUAAUCGCGUAUCAGCAAUGACGCGGUGAAUACGUUCCCGGGCCUUGUACACACCGCCCGUCAAACAAUGGUAGCUGGGAGUACCUAAAGUCAGUAGUCGCAAGACGCUGCCUAGGGUAAAACCGGUAACUGGUGUUAAGUCGUAACAAGGUA
rnacentral:rRNA from 1 species